GCGUGAUCGUAAGGAUUGCCGGAGUUUCACGUUCUCCCUAAUGUGAACAUUAAUACGCAGCGUAAUAAUUGGUGCUUUCAUUGACGUUUCCAUGGCUUCCGAAGUCCCCGCCUGGCAGAGACAUCUCGACGCCCAGAACGCCGUCCUCCAGAAACAGAUCGACGAACUCGUCGCUCUUUUCAAAUCGUCCCACAACCCUUCCUCCUCCCACACCAUCGACAACUCUCAUG
rnacentral:lncRNA from 1 species